rnacentral:rRNA from 1 species
AGACGGAGGGGGCUAGCGUUGUACGGAAUUACUGGGCGUAAAGCGCGCGUAGGCGGUCCGUUUAGUUAGGCGUGAAAGCCCUGGGCUCAACCCGGGAACUGCGUUUAAAACUGGCGGACUAGGGUCCGGGAGAGGGUGGCGGAAUUCCCAGUGUAGAGGUGAAAUUCGUAGAUAUUGGGAAGAACACCAGUGGCGAAGGCGGCCACCUGGCCCGGUACUGACGCUGAGGUGCGAAAGCGUGGGGAGCAAACAGGAUUAGAAACCCCGGUAGUCC